rnacentral:misc_RNA from 1 species
ACGAGUUGCAAAACUCCCACAACCAUCGCGAACGUUACCACAACCGUUGCCUCGGCGGCGCGGCCACCCCCUAGGGAGGACGACCGCCGGCGGUACGUAAACUCUGUUUUUGUAGGCCUCUCUGAGUAACUUAUUAAAUAAGUCA